rnacentral:rRNA from 1 species
GACGUAGGAUGCAAGCGUUGUCCGGAUUUAUUGGGCGUAAAGAGUUCGUAGGCGGUUUGUUAAGUCUGACGUUAAAGAUCAGGGCUCAACCCUGGGAUUGCUUCGGAUACUGGCAGACUGGAGUAUGGUAGAGGUAAGUGGAAUUUCUGGUGUAGCGGUGAAAUGCGUAGAUAUCAGGAAGAACACCGGUGGCGUAGGCGACUUACUGGGCCAUAACUGACGCUGAGGAACGAAAGCCAGGGGAGCGAAUGGG